CUCCGGGCUGCCUGACUGGGUGCUGCUGGAGGCGGUUGCUCCCUGAGAUGCUGGUGGAUUAGGAGGAUUUGUGGCUGGUUCACCCCUGAACUUGGAGGGAGGAGGGGCCCGGAGCUUGAGUGGGGAGACGAGCUCCCGGAAGCCCCCUGAGAUUAAAAUAAAGAGCUGACAGGAGGAGGUCAAUCCCUCUUGGCCUUCUGGGAGGAUAGGACAGGUGAUCCGAAUCUUCAGAGCCGCAGCCUUGAGCCGAGGCCUUUCCCACUGCCCCUCACCCAUCCCUGCGCCAACGUACCCCACCAGCUCUAGCUCUCUAAGAGCAACGAUGUUCCCUGCCUGCCUUCUGCCCUAAAUCUGAGGGUCUCAGCGACAGGGAUGGCCCUGUAAUGCAGGGGUCAGGAGCCAGGCUCUGGAAGCAGCCCAGGUUCAAAUCUCAGCUUUGCAAUUUACUAGCUGUGUGACCCCAGGUGCGUUUCUUAACGUCUCUCUGCCUAGAAUUCUCUUCCCCUAAUCUUUCACCUCCUUCACGGCUUUCCUUAAAUGUCGCCUUCUCAGCCAGGCCUAUAGUGACCAUUCUGUCAACAAGAGCACCCCAAACGUCAGGCUGUUUAUCCUGCUUGACUGCUCUUCCUUGAUCGCACGUGCACCUUCUGACUUACUGUUUACAUAUUCUGCCUGGGAUCGCACCAGAAUGAAAGCGCCAUGAAGGCGGGGAUUCUAUCUGUUUUGUUGCCCGCUGCAUCUCCAUCGACAGAAGGGUAUCUGGCGGGUUUGGGCCCUCAGUGACUAUUCUUUGAGUGAACAGGCAUGAUAAUAGCGUCUCUCCCACUGUUAUUGUGAGGCUGAAAUGAGUUAAUACAUGCGAUGCAUUUAGAAUAGAGCCUGGCACGUAGUUAAGAGCUGAACGCAUGUUAGUUUUUGCCAUUAUUCUUCUAUGACAGGGAUCAAAAACUAAACUGCUUACAGGGGCCAGCAAGUGGAGUGUGUGAGUGAAGCCGGGGGUCAGGGAGGCAGUAGGCGUGGUGAGGCCCACGCCUGCAUGGCAGGGGCUGCCAGUGUUUGACUCCAUUUGAAUGUGGUCAGAUGGGAUUAUGGCCUGGUGUUACUAGAUUUUUUGGUAAGCCAAAAGAAAUCCAGAAAUCAGAUUUUCAGGUUUGAAAACUGCAAUUUGGAAAUUUGGAAAAAUUGGAAAUUUGCAAUUUCCAAACUGUAAGAGUGAUUUCCAAAUUUUCAAAAAUUUUCAAAAACAUAGGGUGGGACAAAUAUAACUUAUCUGUGGCUCCGUUUCAGCAGCAGGUCAUCAGUUUGCAACCAAGCCUGGUGCCAGGAGCUGGCAGACAACAUGCUUGUUGAGUGAGUGACUGGACAAGCAGGGGACAGGGAGCUCCACCAGGGGAGGCUUCCGCCGCUGCGGUCAGCUCGGUCAGCAGGACAGGCCACAGGGAAGAGCCCUCGUGAGUAGGUCUGCACCUGAAAUCUCAUCACCCAGAGGAGAGGUCAGUGGCGCCCUGGCUUGGCUGGGCGUAACGCCUGGAACCCCAGAAUCGCCGUCUUGGACGGGAGAGAUGUCUCUUCUUUGUCCAGGGGUGGUAACUACAAAGAACAAAGCCCACAGUGUCUAGGCGGGUGAGUCGGGGUUUUUAUCCUAUUUCGUAACAGGCUAAUGGCAGGGGAAAGCAGGUCCCCGCUGCUGGGAGAAAGCCCCCUGCCAGCCUCCCCUGGUGCUGCUCAGAAAGGACCCGGAAGUUCAGGCACAGAUGUGCUGACCUCUCCCUCCUGCCCACCCCACCCACUGUGGGUCCAGAGUGUUUCUCAGGAGGCCUUCAUGUUAGGGGGUGGGGUGCGUAUGUGUGUGUCAUUAUUUUUUCCCAUCAGUUUGUGACAGCAUAUCAUUUCUUGAAAGGAGCCCUUUCUCUCUGUCUAGACUUUCACUAUCUUGCAGCAUUUGUUCUCCAGAGCAGUUGGAAACAGGACAGUCACUGCACUCAAAAACAAACAAACAAACAAAAGCCAGGCCAUGAAAGUGAGGCCAGAGGCCUUCACCCUGGCCUCUGAACCUGGCAUGGGAGGUGAUUAGAAGUGCCUCCUGGGUAUCUACACCGAGACUGCAGGUGAGGCGAGGCCGAUGUCACAGGAAGAAACCAAGCUCCAAAAGGAUGUCACCUGCCUGUGUCACACAGUUGCCAAAUGGCGAAGCCAGGAGGAAAGCCCAGGGCGGCCUCCCCACUGAGGGCUCUUUUCAAGACAUUACAGCCGCCUCCCUUCUCAAGGAGGCCUGAGCAGAGGGGUCAAGAAGCCGCAUUUCUGAAGACACAGGCUCUUCCCAGAGGCUGGCCCUGUCCCACCCCAAGCUGGGAGUCCCCCAGCUCCCAUCCCGUUCCUCUACCUUCCCCUGCGUGAGCUGAACGGCAAGCGGACCCUUCGACCCCGGCCAGGAAGCAGAGAGCUAGAAAAUAAGUUCCAUGAGGUCAGGGUUCUUGAUCUGUUUUUCAUCACUGAUGUGUUCCCAGUACUGAGAGCAGUGUCUGACAUACAGUGGUGUUCAAUAAUUAUUGGAUGGAUGGAUGGAUGGAUAAGAAAAGAAAUAACAGCCAGGAGCCUCUUCCGUUCACAGGUACAGAAGUCUCCAGGGGAGGGGACUGGGGCCAGGGGUGUGGGUCUGACAGUGUGAUACCCAUCGGGGGGGUGGGGUGGGGUCAAUGCCCAGGUGCCCUUUGUCCCUCUGCUAAGUCAUCGGGGGUAAAAUUAUCACCAAGCCUGGGAGUAUGGGAGGAACGCUGAGCCCAUGUGUACAAAGGCGAGUGUGGCAGCCCUCCAGGGAAGAGGGUUGCCCAGUGGGACGACUCAGUGUCUCUGGAUAGUUUAUUUUACAUGGGAUGAAUCUAAGCAUCUCAAGUGUACACACAGCGCCGAAGGAAAAAAAAAGAGAACAUUUAACUUCCUGAAAAUGCUUUAUAAUAAUGCAGAACAAUUAUAUAUAGCAAACGCCUUCAAAAUUUAAACCCUUUAAACAUUUAACUUUUCAGCAUUAAUACACACAAAUGCUAUU